AGUGAACGCUGGCGGUAGGCCUAACACAUGCAAGUCGAACGGCAGCACAGUAAGAGCUUGCUCUUACGGGUGGCGAGUGGCGGACGGGUGAGGCAUACAUCGGAAUCUACUUUUUCGUGGGGGAUAACGUAGGGAAACUUACGCUAAUACCGCAUACGACCUACGGGUGAAAGCAGGGGAUCUUCGGACCUUGCGCGAUUGAAUGAGCCGAUGUCGGAUUAGCUAGUUGGCGGGGUAAAGGCCCACCAAGGCGACGAUCCGUAGCUGGUCUGAGAGGAUGAUCAGCCACACGGGAACUGAGACACGGUCCAGACUCCUACGGGAGGCAGCAGUGGGGAAUAUUGGACAAUGGGCGCAAGCCUGAUCCAGCCAUACCGCGUGGGUGAAGAAGGCCUUCGGGUUGUAAAGCCCUUUUGUUGGGAAAGAAAAGCAGCAGGUUAAUACCCCGCUGUUCUGACGGUACCCAAAGAAUAAGCACCGGCUAACUUCGUG
rnacentral:rRNA from 1 species